rnacentral:lncRNA from 1 species
UGAGGAAUAUAGAACUUGAAGGUACAAUUGAUCAGAUUGGACAAGCCAGUCAAAUGGUUCGUGAGCUUAUUCAGAGCGUUACAGCAAAAUCUGCGGCACCCAUGAUGAAGAAUCCCAGCUCCACUGCAACAAGCAACUUUAAAACAAAAAUUUGUGAGAACUUUGCUAAAGGGUUGUGCACUUUUGGAGAAAGGUGCCACUUUGCACAUGGAGCAGAAGAAUUGCGUAGAUCAGGUCCAUGAGCUUUGCAGUAUUUACUAUUAGGGGGUAUUCUCUUUUUGGCUGUUAUCUGUUUUUAUCUGGGUUUGUGAAAAUACUAGAUAGGUGUUUUUGCCAUUCGGCGUCUCUUGGUUUUUGAGGCUUGUAGUUAGAUCUUUAAUGUGCUGCUUUCUCAUGACUUCGUUGCUUUUAUCUUGUUUGCUGUUCUUUUAAUCAUAACCUAGUUACUGUUAUUGAUAUGGAAUUGUAGUAUGUUUUGCUUGAGCUUCGCGAGUGGGGAACAAUGUGUGCUGUGUAUGCUUCUUUUGCGUACGUUAACCCAGAGGGACUGACUGCUGGAAAAUUGGGUCAACCACUUGGUCAAGAAUUUUUUCUUGGUCAAGUUCUAAUCCUUUGUUUUACAGUUGAAUUGUUUGCUAUCUACAUUUGGCCUCAUUAGGGAUCCGGGAUGACUUUUCUAGUGUCUGCUGAUUUAAUUCUGCGAUCGAGGUAUGUGAUAAAGAGGGAAAAGCAUGGAUCUUAAGAGAUGAGAAAGGGAGUUGAGUAUAAGUUUUGUGUUUAAAUUAACAGUUCAGAAAUUCAGGAGACUUGAUCUUGAAUUUCUAAUUAGAGCUCAGAUAUUUUAGAUACUAAGUUGUGAAUUCCAAACUAGCAAUUCAAAAAUUCAAGAUAUUUAAUCUUGAAGUUUGGGUGACUUGCUUCAUCUGUGAAUACAUUGAAAAUUGUAAAUAUAUUUUACACAUGCUUAAAAGUGGCUAAUGGUGCACUCUUACUUUUAAUAGUACUCUUUAUUGAAAGAAAAUUGGAAAACAUAAUAAAAGUCUUUCAUAAUAGGUAUUUAAAAGCAUUUAUUUAUUUAAAUAAUGCUUAUAUGAAACUGAGUUUACGUAUCAUGUUUCUGUAAUUGACUCUAAAAUGUACUUUUUUGGAUAAUUGGUCAACUAGAACUGUUUCUAAAACUGAUAAAGAAACACAUCUCAAAUGAUUCAGUCAAACACUAAUUAUUACGUACCUAUCUAAAACACUUCUCUAAAAAUGUCUUUUUACAAAAAAGUUUUCUUAAAAUAAAACGAUUUCAAAAGUUUGACCAAAUGGGCAAUAAGAGUCGAUCUUACUAUUUUGCUAACCAUUAAAAAGAACACCAUUUGCAGGGCAAUAAAGAAAUUCGAUAGGGAAUAUUCGGUCCUUUCGUCAUCUGUGGUAAGUGGAGAAAAUUAUUUAAAAGACUCCUUUUUCAUCUCUAAAGAGUAAAGGUUAUGUGUUCUUUCAAACAUCAUAAGAUAUAUUUAAACGUCUCACUGGUUUUAUGUUUAUAAAGAAUUUUUUUUUAAUAUCUCUUUUAUCGUCUCUAACUCUAUAAAAAAGAGACAAAGAAGACUUACAUGCCAAAUAUUAUGCUUAAUCUCUCUUUCAAACCUCACAAAAGAAGUAUUGUUACUUGUUAAUUGUUAUAACUGUGACAUAAUAGUAUCUAUUAUCCGGGUUAAAAAAUUUAAUUUAAUUUAAUUUAAGGUUAAGUGUCAUACGAUAAAUAACAGAAGCACAAAAAAUAAAAUAACGCAUAUAAUUCAGGAAUCAAAAUUACCUACUGGUAAAUAAUUUCACUAAUAUAAUGGAACAAAAAUAACGCAUAUAAUUCAGGGAUCAAAAUUACCUACCGGUAAAUAAUUUCACUAAUAUAAUGGAACAAAUGUUCCAAAUUUCAAAUCCUAAAUUAUCGAUUCAGAGUUUAUUUGGUUGGAAUUUGAUAAUUGACAGAGUGAAACCUUAAGAAAGAAAUGAGAUUGAAAGAAAGGUGGAUUUUCCGGCUAAAUUCAGCCGGAAAUCUCGAACUUGACAAAUCUUUUAUGGUUCCGGCAUCCAGCUAUAUGGACAAAUCACCGGCAAAUUUGUUCUACGGCGGCGUACAGAGAAACAUCUCGAACCUGUUUGAGCUCAAUCUCUCUUACAAUCACUUCUCCGGCGAAAUUCCGUCGAGUCUCCGGUGGGCUUCACCAACUUCACUAUCUUCAGCUUGAAUGGUCUACAAGAAGUUAAAAAAGAAAUUAGGUUCUAUGCACCGAGUAUUUACACAAUCAGGUAAUUGAAGAUAGUCUAUUUAAUAGCAGUAAUUAGAAUAAAUGAUAAGUAAUUUGCUAUAACGUAAUUGAAAUCAUUACCGUGUAUAUAACUUAAAUUGCGAGACCACGCUCUUAAAGUCAGUUUCAGAACAAAAUUAGACGCAAACUCUGUACUUUCCCCUUGUUUUAUAUUUCUCAUUUUGUUUCAAUGCACACUUUCUAUAUUUAAAGAUAAUUUUAUUUUGAAGUUCUUAUUUUACGAGAUAUACAGGGCCACACAAAUGCGUAUGAAUUAUUUUAGACCAUCAGUUUUAAAAGUGUUUAAUUCUUUUUAAAAUUUUGUGUCCAAUCAAAUUUGUACGGGAGGAAAAAUUUGUGUGAU